GGGCCUACGGGGGGCUGCAGUGGGGAAUUUUGCGCAAUGGGGGAAACCCUGACGCAGCAACGCCGCGUGAGUGAUGAAGGCCUUCGGGUCGUAAAGCUCUGUCAGAGGGAAAGAAGUGCAGUGGUGCUAAUACCAUCAUUGCUUGACGGUACCCUCAAAGGAAGCACCGGCUAACUCCGUGCCAGCAGCCGCGGUAAUACGGAGGGUGCGAGCGUUGUUCGGAAUUAUUGGGCGUAAAGCGCGUGCAGGCGGUCUUAUAAGUCUGAUGUGAAAGCCCCGGGCUUAACCUGGGAAGUGCAAUGGAAACUGGGAGACUUGAAUGCGGGAGAGGGUAGUGGAAUUCCUAGUGUAGGGGUGAAAUCCGUAGAUAUUAGGAGGAACACCGGUGGCGAAGGCGGCUACCUGGACCGAUAUUGACGCUGAGACGCGAAAGCGUGGGGAGCAAACAGGAUUAGAUACCCGAGUAGUC
rnacentral:rRNA from 1 species